rnacentral:tRNA from 1 species
GGAGAGGUGGCCGAGUGGUUGAUGGCGGCGGUCUUGAAAACCGCAGACCGAAAGGUCCGGGGGUUCGAAUCCCUCCCUCUCUG